CUUAUCAAGAAAGACAGAGGGAAAGGCCCGAUGAAGUCUUGGCAACCAAAUUUAGAUGGUGCUAAAUCCUACCACAGUUAAUCCUGUGGAAAGAUGAGU
rnacentral:ncRNA from 1 species